rnacentral:rRNA from 1 species
GUUUUUUUAUUUAGCCAUUGCACCCAUGUGUUUUUCUUUGAAACAAACUUGCUUUGGCGGUGGGCCCAGCCUGCCGCCAGAGGUCUAAACUUACAACCAAUUUUUUAUCAACUUGUCACACCAGAUUAUUACUAAUAGUCAAAACUUUCAACAACGGAUCUCUUGGUUCUCGCAUCGAUGAAGAACGCAGCGAAAUGCGAUACGUAAUAUGAAUUGCAGAUAUUCGUGAAUCAUCGAAUCUUUGAACGCACAUUGCGCCCUCUGGUAUUCCGGAGGGCAUGCCUGUUUGAGCGUCGUUUCUCCCUCAAACCGCUGGGUUUGGUGUUGAGCAAUACGACUUGGGUUUGCUUGAAAGACGGUAGUGGUAAGGCGGGAUCGCUUUGACAAUGGCUUAGGUCUAACCAAAAACAUUGCUUGCGGCGGUAACGUCUACCACGUAUAUCUUCAAACUUUGACCUCAAAUCAGGUAGGACUACCCGCUGAACUUAAGCAUAUCAAUAAGACGGAGGAA